rnacentral:rRNA from 1 species
CCUACGGGGGGCUGCAGUGGGGAAUAUUGCACAAUGGGCGCAAGCCUGGUGCAGCCAUGCCGCGUGUGUGAAGAAGGCCUUCGGGUUGUAAAGCACUUUCAGCGGGGAGGAAGGCGUUAGGGUUAAUAACCUUGUCGAUUGACGUUACCCGCAGAAGAAGCACCGGCUAACUCCGUGCCAGCAGCCGCGGUAAUACGGAGGGUGCAAGCGUUAAUCGGAAUUACUGGGCGUAAAGCGCACGCAGGCGGUCUGUCAAGUCGGAUGUGAAAUCCCCGGGCUCAACCUGGGAACUGCAUUCGAAACUGGCAGGCUAGAGUCUUGUAGAGGGGGGUAGAAUUUCAGGUGUAGCGGUGAAAUGCGUAGAGAUCUGGAGGAAUACCGGUGGCGAAGGCGGCCCCCUGGGCCUGUACUGACGCUCAUGCACGAAAGCGUGGGGAGCAAACAGGAUUAGAUACCCUAGUAGUC